rnacentral:rRNA from 1 species
UGGGGAAUAUUGCACAAUGGGCGCAAGCCUGAUGCAGCCAUGCCGCGUGUGUGAAGAAGGCCUUCGGGUUGUAAAGCACUUUCAGCGGGGAGGAAGGCGUUAAGGUUAAUAACCUUGGCGAUUGACGUUACCCGCAGAAGAAGCACCGGCUAACUCCGUGCCAGCAGCCGCGGUAAUACGGAGGGUGCAAGCGUUAAUCGGAAUUACUGGGCGUAAAGCGCACGCAGGCGGUCUGUCAAGUCGGAUGUGAAAUCCCCCGGCUCAACCUGGGGACUGCACUUUGAAGCGGCAGGGUGGAGGCCUUUAGGGGGGGGGGGGACUUCCGGUGGAGGGGGUGAAUUCGUCGAAGACUGGGGGAAAUCCGGAUGCAAAGGGCGCCCCCUGGACAAAGACUGACGCUCAGGUGCGAAAGCGUGGGGAGCAAACAGG